UACAGAGGUCUCAAGCGUUGUUCGGAUUCACUGGGCGUAAAGGGUGUGUAGGUGGCGCGCUAAGUCGGGUGUGAAAUUUCGGAGCUUAACUCCGAAACUGCAUUCGAUACUGGCGUGCUUGAGGACUGGAGAGGAGACUGGAAUUCAUGGUGUAGCAGCGAAAUGCGUAGAGAUCAUGAGGAAGACCAGUGGCGAAGGCGGGUCUCUGGACAGUUCCUGACACUGAGACACGAAGGCCAGGGGAGCAAACGGG
rnacentral:rRNA from 1 species